AGCUGAGAGGGAGGAGCUCGGAAGAGAGGAGCCAGGCCGCGUGGCCUGCAGUGGGGGGCGCAGGGCAGAUGGAAGCGUCUGCAGGCCGGGCUGGGGGGGCCUCGUGCACCUGGACGUUGGCCGAGCUGCGGGUCGCACAGACGCAGGGGCAGCGAGCUCCCCAGGGAGGGGCAGGCGGGAGGGGGAGGGGACAGUGACAUUGCUGUUUUCAGAGACAGGAAGGAGGGCUCAGGGAAACCGCGCAGGCGGGGCUGGGAGGCUGCGGGCAGGGACUCGGGCCGAGCACACGGCCACAGCCGGCUGUCCUGUCUCCUGGGGCCUCGGGGCCACUUCCUCCCACCGCAGAGAGCUGCGUCCUCAGCACGGCGCUGAAGCUGAGCCUCCUGGUCCUGGGCUGGGCGUCAGCUGCCGGGCGGGGCCUCCCGGGACCACCGGCUGACACGAGAUGACCUGGCUCGGACUGGCCAAGGUCAGUCAGUCAGUCCCCAGAGGCAAUACCCACCCCUCCCGCCAAUUGGACCCCCGGCUCUGCUGUUUAUUGGGGGACAGAGAUGGGACGGUCACCCCACUGGGAGCGUCAAGGCUGCGGCGGGGUCAGAAGCGUGGCUCUGGCAGGUUUCUGUGACCCCGACCUCCUGUAUUCGUCCCUCCCCCCGCCAUGGCUGCGUCCCUCUGCUGUGACCUUCCAGGGCUCCGCUGGGCAUGAGCGCUCGUCAGCCUGGCGUUGGAGAGCCCUGCGUGGCGCCUCACGGAUAGUCACACGCCUCGGAGAGGGCCGCCCCACUGCGUCCCCAGGCUCCAGAACAGGGCCCGCCACCCAGCAGGUGCUCAGUCAUGACUUGCUGCGACUGUGAAAUGCGUGCACAGCGUCGCCUGCCCUGGAAGACAGCAGAGGCAUGUCUCGCUGCACUGUGCCACUGCCGCCCGCCGUCAUCGCCAUCCCCUGGAAGUGGCCUCUCUGCUGCAUACCUGGCCCCGGGAGCCACCUGUGCUCUGGGCCUCGGCCCCUCACUCCUCCACACGGCCCCCGUGUGGGCAUUGCUGCAGCAGGAUUCUCUUUUCAAAACUUUAUUUCUUCCCCAGUUUUAUUGGGAUCUAACUGACAUACAAUGUAUUAGUUUGGGGCGUACAAGACGAUGACUCGAUACAUGUGGGUAUCACGAUGAGCACCAGAAUCGCUCAGUUAGCGUCCAUCACACACAGCCACACUGUCUUUAUCUUGUCAGGGGAACUUUGGUGAUUUGUUCUCUGGCAAGUUUCAAAUAUACGCUCUGGCCUCGUCACCUUCAGGCGGGAUUCCUCAGCGAUAUUCAUUCCCGUUUAUUCCCCGUCAUUCUCCCUCCUCCGAUUCCAAGACAGUUUAUCACUCUGUGAAUUUUCUUGAUUUUGUUUUUACCAAGCAGGGAGUAGAAGCUUCUGGAAGACAGUUAUCUAUCUGCCUUGUAUUAAGCUGGGCUCUCUAGAGACACAGACCAAUGGGAUAUCCACAUCCACAUCCAUAUCCAUAUCAAUAUCUACAUCCACAUAUCAUCUGUAUCUAUGUCUGUCUAUCUAUCUAUCCAUCUGUCUGUCUGUCUGUCUAUCUACUUGUCUAUCUCCCUAUCUAGAGACUCAUUAGAAGGAAUUGGCUCACGUGGUUAUGGAGGCUGAGAAGCCCCACGAUUUGCCGUCUGCACGCUGGAGGCCCAGGAGGCUGUGGUAUAAGCUCCAGUCUGACUCUGAGUCCAAAGGCAGGGAAGACGGACGUCCCUGCAUGAAGACAGUCAGGCAGAGAGAGUGCAUCCUCCCUUACUCCCUUUUUGUUCUAUUCUGGCCUUCAACUGAUUGGACAAGGCCCACCCACAUUGGGGAGAACAAUCUGCUUCAGUCAGUCUAUGGAUUCAAAUGUUAAUCUCAUCCAGAAACACACCCAGAAUGGUGUUUGACCAAAUACCGGGGCAGCCCUUGGUCCAGUCAAGCUGAUACAUAAAAUUAGCCAUCUCAUGCCUUUUGUGAAAACCCCAUGUAUUAAUCAGUCAGGGUAUAGGCUCAGCUGCUGUAACAAAGAAACCCCCAAACACACAGGUUCAGACAGGAGAGGAGUUUGUUUCUGCUGGGAGAUGUGCCAAGGGAGGCGAGCGUCAGGGAAGGCAGGAGAGUCUGGGGACCCUGUCCCUCCGUCUUGUUCCAGCAGCCCCAGGAUACAGUCCUUUACGGCCCAGGGGACGUGGAGCCAGAACCAGACCCACGUCCAGCUCUCAGAAGCGGGAGAGAAAGACAGUGGCGGGCAGGUGGCUGCUGCGAAAGUGGCCUGACCGUUUCUGCGGCAUCCGACGGGAGCGAGGGCGCGGGGUGGGCGGCGGCUCAGCAUCCGGUCCCAGCUGCGCGCUCUCACAGGGCCGGGCGUCCCAGACCCAAUGUGAGCAGCUGUCGGCUCUGGAGCGGUGCCGAGGGAGAGGGGGUUCCACAGGCUGGAGUCGCAGAGCCAGGCUGGCCUGGUCACCUCAUCCCGCGGUGCUGCCGGGAGGGGACAGGAUCUGGGCGCUGCCUCUGCGCCCGCGUGGACGGCUGCCCGCCAUGCAGACGCUGCGGAGCUUCCACCAGAGGGACCGCGGGCUGCAUCCUGCACAUCUUACGGGCGGCCGGAGGGACCCCUCGGUCAUUUGGUCUCUCAUCCGACACAGCACGGAGCAGCCCACUCCUGAGACCGAGACUGAAUUUCCUUGGAAUCGGCACUUGUCAAUUGGAAAGAAAUAAAAAUGGGUCUAUCUCGCA